GGUGAGAUGGCCGAGUGGUUAUGGCGCCGUGUUCAGGUUUCAUCGGAUUUCCGAUACGUUGAACAAAUUUCGCGGUGGAGCAAUCCGCGUGGGUUCGAGUCCCACUCUCAUCA